UGGUGCUGGUGCUGGUUGUGAUGGGGAAGAUGCAGCAAGCAUUGAGCAUGGAGACUGCUCCGAGAGAAAGCCUGCACUGGUUCUACCCACCACUUCUGCUUGUGAAGUACAGAAAUAUUUUCGAAGCAGAUGCCAGCAGUUUGUCGGUGCCAACGCUUCAUGUUUGCAAAGCUGUGAAGGAAUGAGAGGAAAACAUCAGCCUCCCAGGAAGUCACUGAAGAAAGGGGCUCGCUUUGUUUUCUGAGAAGAGAAGGACAAGGGCACAGCCAAGGCCUUCUGCCUAAGGAAUGGUACCUCCCAAAGACAUUUGUUGGCCAUCUCCAAUGAUACAAAGACGUUAAGCAAUUCUCCCACCACUCAUCAAGUUUGGAGUUAAGUAUUCUGUUUAUAUCAUUUUCAGCAGGUAUUCGGUCAUUUCUAGGUAUCUAAUACUUUAAUCUACUUUUAUCUGUGUCUUUAGCUGCCCUAAGAACUGAAGGAAUUUAGAACAUUUCCAUUUCAAGCCUCCAUUCCACCCCAUCCACAAGGCUCUUCAGACCGUCAUUAUAUAGUACCCUGAUGCUUGGUUUUAUAGCUCCACACUCUUCAUUAUCAUAUCAUUAUCAUAUCAUUAUCACUGUUGUCCUAGAAUUGAUGCUCCUUACAGUUUGCUCAUAUGGCUAUUGCUUGUUUACCAUUUAAUUCUCUUUUAAAAAUAUCUUAGUUGAAAAAAUAUUAGAGAGAGUCCCAUGUUUCCAAUAUGACCUUAAACUUGUUAUAAAACCAAGGAUUGGACUUUCUAAUUCUGCCUCCACCUCCCAGGUAAUGGGCAGGUGUGCACCAUUACACACAGUUUUAAGUGGUAGUGGAAAACAAACCCAAAGUUUUGCCCAGCUUAACCACUUAGGUCAGACAGACGUCUUUUUCGGACAAGGAUCUGUGGGGAGCAAAGACCUUCAAGUGCUGGCUGAUGCUUGGGAAGUCCUCUCUGUCUACUUUACCUGACUCUCAGUUUAAGAAUUCCUGACUCCGUGACUUGAUAUUUUCUCAGAAUCCACAUGAUGGGAGAAGAGAAAAGAUUCUGCAAGUUGUCCUCUGACCUCCACUUGCGUGUUUGUGUGUGUUACACU